AGAAAAUGUGUUAUCUAGAGAGAGAAAUAAAGAAAGGAAGAGAAACAAUUCUCUAAAUCCAAUCUAGAUCUAAUUUUUUUUCAUAAAAUCUCCAACCAAUCUAAAGUUAAGCCUUCUAUACAAAGCUUAAGGAGGAAGAAUGUAUCACUCCCAAGGUUAAAGUUCUCAUCUUUAUACUAGAUCUAGCCUAGAUCUAGCUUAUUUUAUAAAUUGUUGUGCUUGUGCCUUUGUUUGUUGCUAGCUAAUUUUUCAUUUGAGGCUCUCAUAGCAUCUUAGAUCAUAUAUAUCUAGACGUGUAUGUAUCCUAUUUUUGGGAUUAUGGAUGAUAAGAGAGGAUUUCUCACGGAUGGAAUUUUCUCCUAAUUAGUCGAUGAUAUCCUUUUGGUAAUUUAUCGAUUUUGACUUUGAUUCGACUCCUUUUCACCAAUUAUUCUCAAUUGGGAGUUUUUGCUAUUGAUUUCUAGGUCACCCAAAUAUCCUAGAUUCAAAUAUAGUGGUGAGGGAUCCCACCUUUUGGCCUCAAGGAAUUCUCAUGAAUAUAAUCUUCUUAUAGCCAACAUGUUUUUUUAUUAGAUCUUGAUUGCUUUAUUUUCUAGAUAUAUAGAAUUUAGAUCUAUGGAUUUUGUUUCCAAGAUUCUAAGUUCUUUUAAUAGAUCUCAUUAAUACGUAACAAUCCCUUGUGAUUUCGAUAACUGGUGAUAUUUGUUUCCCUCAAUAUAUAUAGUUAGCGAUAUAUAAUUGCGAUAUUAUUGUGAUAUUUGUCAAAUGAAAACUAAAACAAAGUAUUCCUUCAAAUCAAAUAUUUUGUGCAUAGGUUCAAAGUUGCUUCCAAGAUAAUACACCUACCACGACUUUGACGAUUUUAGGAGACGACACCCUAGAUUCCACAACUUGAUCUUAGGAGUCGACCCCUAGGUUAUGUACGUACGAUUCGACUCAAAACUAGGAGACGACCCCCUAAAUUUCACGACUUGACCUUCGGAGACAACCCUUAUGGUUACUUAUAUUUCACUAUUUGACUCUAGAUUUUCUGGAAUGACACAAUUCAUAUAGGCACAACACGUGUACACUCUUCACAUUUCUCAAAGCAUUUCAUUUUAUUAUAGAAAAAAUUAGAAAACGAUAAAUUUGUCUUCACUGAAGUCGGGGUGCCUAACACAUUCCUAUCGAAAUGUUUUAUUAGUUAAUGGUUGCAGGCGAGAAGAUUAGACUUUGACUUCAUCCCAAUUAAUUGAAUUAAUUUGAGGACGUUUGAGAAUAUAUUGAGAUGGAAGCUGGAUGGAUGGAUGGAUGGCUGGCUUCAAUAGUAAGUCAACCUUUUCAGUUACUACUACGUUUAAGACUUGAGGAGUCGAACAAAUCUAGAAAUAUCUACUGAAUUUGGUUCUUUGGCUUUUCAAAAGGCUUAAUUAUAUAAGAUGAUCCCUUCUAUUAAUUGUCUCGCAUGCAUCAAUUCUGAAUGCAUGAUGAUAUUUAUUUAAUUCUUCCCAUUUCAGAAUUAAGAAGAUGUGAUAUCAGAGAGGUGGUGGCUAGCUAGACGGAAGGCAUGGCAUUUUUAUUUGUUAAAAGGAAGUAAUUCCAUUGGAAUAAUUUUAUGGGGUGGGGUUGCCUUGAAUAAUGAAUAUAUAUAUAUAUAUAUAUAUAUAUAUAUAUAUAUAUAUAUAUAU
rnacentral:lncRNA from 1 species